UACGUAGGUGGCGAGCGUUGUCCGGAAUUACUGGGUGUAAAGGGCGUGUAGGCGGGAAGGUAAGUCAGAUGUGAAAUUCCAUGGCUCAACUGUGGGGCUGCAUCUGAAACUAUCUUUCUUGAGUGCUGGAGAGGAAAGCGGAAUUCCUGGUGUAGCGGUGAAAUGCGCAGAUAUCAGGAGGAACACCAAUGGCGAAGGCAGCUCACUGGGACGGUAUUGACGCUGAGACGCGAAAGCGUGGGGAGCGAACAGG
rnacentral:rRNA from 1 species